GGGGAAUAUUGCACAAUGGGGGAAACCCUGAUGCAGCGACGCCGCGUGGAGGAAGAAGGUCUUCGGAUUGUAAACUCCUGUUGUUGGGGAAGAUAAUGACGGUACCCAACAAGGAAGUGACGGCUAACUACGUGCCAGCAGCCGCGGUAAAACGUAGGUCACAAGCGUUGUCCGGAAUUACUGGGUGUAAAGGGAGCGCAGGCGGGCGAUCAAGUUGGAAGUGAAAUCCAUGGGCUCAACCCAUGAACUGCUUUCAAAACUGAUCGUCUUGAGUAGUGCAGAGGUAGGCGGAAUUCCCGGUGUAGCGGUGGAAUGCGUAGAUAUCGGGAGGAACACCAGUGGCGAAGGCGGCCUACUGGGCACCAACUGACGCUGAGGCUCGAAAGUGUGGGUAGCAAACAGGAUUAGAUACCCUGGUAGUCCACACCGUAAACGAUGAUUACUAGGUGUUGGAGGAUUGACCCCUUCAGUGCCGCAGUUAACACAAUAAGUAAUCCACCUGGGGAGUACGACCGCAAGGUUGAAACUCAAAGGAAUUGACGGGGGCCCGCACAAGCAGUGGAGUAUGUGGUUUAAUUCGACGCAACGCGAAGAACCUUACCAAGUCUUGACAUCCUGCGACGGACGUAGAAAUAUGUCUUUCCUUCGGGACGCAGAGACAGGUGGUGCAUGGUUGUCGUCAGCUCGUGUCGUGAGAUGUUGGGUUAAGUCCCGCAACGAGCGCAACCCUUAUGGUCAGUUACUACGCAAGAGGACUCUGGCCAGACUGCCGUUGACAAAACGGAGGAAGGUGGGGAUGACGUCAAAUCAUCAUGCCCUUUAUGACUUGGGCUACACACGUACUACAAUGGCGUUAAACAAAGAGAAGCAAGACCGCGAGGUGGAGCAAAACUCAGAAACAACGUCCCAGUUCGGACUGCAGGCUGCAACUCGCCUGCACGAAGUCGGAAUUGCUAGUAAUCGCAGAUCAGCAUGCUGCGGUGAAUACGUUCCCG
rnacentral:rRNA from 1 species